AUUGAACGCUGGCGGCAGGCCUAACCCAUGCAAGUCGAACGAGUGGCGGCAGGGUGAGUAAUGUCGGGGAAACUGCCUGAUGGAGGGGGAUAACUACUGGAAACGGUAGCUAAUACCGCAUACCAUCAGAUUUGCCCAGAUGGGAUUAGCUUGUUGGUGGGGUAACGGCUCACCACGGCGACGAUCCCUAGCUGGUCUGAGAGGAUGACCAUCCAUACGUGAACUGAUACACGGUGCAGACCCCUUGGGUAGGCAGCAGUGGUGAUGAUUGCACAAUGGGCGCAAGCCGGAUGCAGCCAUGCCGCGUGUAUGAAGAAGGCCUUCGGGGUGUAAAGUACUUUCAGCGGGGAGGCGUUAUCCGCAGAAGAAGCACCGGCUAACGCCGUGCCAGCAGCCGCGGUAAUUC
rnacentral:rRNA from 1 species